UCCAGACUCCUACGGGAGGCAGCAGUGAGGAAUAUUGGUCAAUGGGCGGGAGCCUGAACCAGCCAAGUCGCGUGAAGGAAGAAGGUACUUAGUAUUGUAAACUUCUUUUGUCGGGGAACAAAGGCGGAGACGCGUCUCCGGAUGAGUGUACCCGAAGAAAGAGCAUCGGCUAACUCCGUGCCAGCAGCCGCGGUAAUACGGAGGAUGCGAGCGUUAUCCGGAUUUAUUGGGUUUAAAGGGUGCGCAGGCGGGAGAUCAAGUCAGCGGUAAAAUGUCGGGGCUCAACCCCGGCCGGCCGUUGAAACUGGUUUUCUAGAGUUGGAGAGAAGUAUGCGGAAUUCGUGGUGUAGCGGUGAAAUGCAUAGAUAUUACACAGAACACCGAUUGCGAAGGCAGCUUGCUAGGCCGGAUCUGACACUGAUGCACGAAAGCGUGGGGAUCGAACAGGAUUAGAUACCCGAGUA
rnacentral:rRNA from 1 species